GCAUACGUACAACCCCUACGCACGGGCGCCCGUCCGUCAUAAGAACACCAAGACUCAAACAUAACCAGUCAGUCUUUACAGUGUACUCAAAGCAGUGUGACUUAGCCGAAACUCCUUUUACAGUCGUGGUCUGUGAAACAAGGUGGUUUUAUAACAAGAUUUCUUCUGAAGUGCCUUUUAUUUGACAGACGUUUUUUUUUGGAGUUUGGGUCGGACGAGAGGGACUUCUUUUAGACAGGGCACGUACACAUCUUACAGAGGCAUGGAUAAGUUUCUAACGCUUACAGUUUUACUAUUGCUAGUUCUUGCAGUAGCCAGUAAUCCAUUGGAAUCAAAACGCAAAGGAAAAUGCAGAGGCGGCACGGUGGGAAGCAGUGCAGGGUGUACGAAUAACACAUCGUUUUUUAAAAGAAUAUUCGACGAAUACAAAAGAGGUCAAGUUGAAGAAGCCGACACACUCGACAGGCGGGACUGGGACCUAGACGUUGCAGAGCCAAACUACCAGAAGAAAAGCAACGAAUUCGAAAACGAGGAAGAGAAGUUAAGGAUCCUGACUGAGAUCCUUGAAGAGCUUGAACUGGAGGAUAGCGACUUGAAAUGAGUCUAGCAAUCCCGUCUCAACUGAAAUAGACAACAUUUUGUUUUCUUUAUUUUGUUUACGUUACUUUUUUUUUCCUGUUAUAACUGCCCUGUCAAUAAUUUAUGCAUCGUUGGAGGUUAUACGCCGCUAAACAGGUUUACAAUAGAUAGAAAAGGGCACAAUAAUAUUCAUUCGUUUUCCCAUACAUGUAAGCAGUAAAUGCUCAGUUCGUUCCCGAGCUCUUUAAAACAAAUCCUCCCUCGGGAGGGAUUCGAACCCGCGAACUUUGCAAUUCUAGAGCAGUGUCUUACCAACUAGACCACCGAUAUUGCCCGAAUUAGCAGCGGGUGCCGCAACGAUUUGUUUUAUGGAAAUUCGUUUCGGAGAUAAAUUAGUAUACACCAGUAGCAAGGCAGAGGCAUUUGGCCCAAAGACUAAACCUUGCGGAACAUCAGUAAACAUUUGCUUUCCCCAAAAGGGUAAUUACAUUUCAACCAAUGCUAACAGUCAUUGAACCAUGUUUUGAUUAAACCCAAAGGAGUAUUCUUAAAUUAAUAAUAAAAUGGCCACCAAAUACCACAGUAUCGUGUCAUCAUUAUACAAACUAGUGUUAAACUUAUGGCAUAAUGUUUAAUAAUUUCUACUAACGGGUUAUAAUUGAUGAUGAGAAUCCAUUGAAGACGCUCUAAUUAAAUUGUUUAAUAAGCUUUCCCGAGAAGAAUUGCAACCAACGUGACCAUUAAAAACAAUCUUAAUAUAAAUACGGGCCAUCUGUUGUUUUUUUUUUUUGUUUUUUUAUUGGCUGGUGAUAGGGUCGCAGGUGGGAUUUAUAUAAUUUUUUUAAAUAAUCUAUGAUCAUAAUCGGCAAACGAUGACAAAUUAAGACAUUUGACCUGUGUUAUCCCUCAUCAAUAUGGGGCGAUAAGGGUAUUAUUUUGCUGAAAUCCGAAAAAUGGAAAAUGUUCAGACAUUCUUGAAAGUGCCCACAGAGCCUCAAUUUAUUUUAGACACACGCAUAUUAAUUAAUCACUUUGUUUCCUUUAUAUAUAUGAAACAGAUAACCCAGCAAAUGCAAUGUGCUCUACAAAGCCAGUAACAUUGUUAUCUGAUUAAUUUUACAAAACAGAAAAGUUAAUGGCCUGACGUUUCGACCCUGGAUAGCAGAGUCAAUCUCGAAGGUUAAAAUGACACACAACACAUAUGAACAGGUAACUAAGUAUAAAUAAACUAUAAUAGAUAGUAAACUUGCGGGUACAGCUGUAAUGUGCAAACCUCCUUUGUGUGAGGGUUGAAUCUGAAAAGAGCCGAUAUGGUCUCGACGUUUCGAACAGUAUACUCUGCUCGUCUUCAUGAGAAAGCUAAGUGUGUGAAGUAUGUUCCACUUAGUUACCUGUUCAUGCUUAGCAGUGUAUUCUGCUAAACAGCAUUAUGGAAUUCUGGUAUGAGAAGUAACUAGUACCUAACAACUUUUGUGACUAUUAUUCUAACACAGAAUGGGAAAUGAAUUGGCUAAUAUCAAAUUAUUAAGGACUUCAUGUUAUGUGUGCCAACAUGGCGUCUGUGAAGGCAAUAGUGAAAAUGGGCCAACAUGGCGUCUGAAAAUGAACCAUAAGCUUCUAGAACAGAAUGGGAAAGUAGUGAGCAAUAACAACAUUCCCAGUGAAGUUUUGUGUGCCAACAUGGCGUUCUCGAACCCAGUUGUGAAAUCGGGUUAACAUGGCGUCUGAAAACCAACCAAAGGUACAACAUGCUUUCAAAAACACCCCAUAUAGUAUUCGCUUGUUGACAACAUGUCUGCAUAGUAUUUCGGCCUUUAUGGAGAAAUGAUAGAAAGUGAUUGUGUUCGUUUAGGCCCACGUAAGCCCACGCAUUUGAGGUAGCAUUGCUAAAAAAUGGGAGUUCCCUUUUACUAAAGAACACUUUGAAAUGAAUCACCUGACAGAACUGGAUUGUCAACAAAAAAUAUAUUUUCCUUUUGUAAAACAAAAUACUUCUGUAUAAAGAAAAUUGGGUCAACCUUGAGUUGGGUUGGUUGAACUUGGGUUUGUAUAUGGCGACGUUUGAAGGUCGGUUGAUGUAUUAAUGUACAACUAUCGGAAGAAACUAAAAUAUCAAUUGUAUAUAAUUGAUUUAUCAAAGUCUGCACCAUCAGGGCUUGGCUUACUGAACAAAAGCAAACACUUUCGAUCUUUGGCUGUGCUCCGUGGUCAUAAUGGGUUGAUGUGGCUGGCAGCCAAAGGCGCCCUUUUAUGCCUGUGCUUUUCGCAGUUCAGCUCUAAGCUGCGAGUAGGAUGAUUAGUCCCCACCCCCUCCUUCCUUAAGUAUGAUUAUUGUAUUACAGGUAAGGUAGGGAUCAUUUAUUUGCAACAAUCAUCGGGUUGGAUUCGAUGUAAGACAACAAAAUAAUAAAAGUUACAAAAUACAUCAAGUAUAUUAAAUACGUUAUACAUGACUUGGCCAAAAACAAAUAAUGGGUACGAGUUCAGGAAACGAUGCGAGAGAAAAGGAAACGAGAAGUAGAACAUAAUUAUAUUGUUUUGAGGAGUGUACGAGGAUGAGAGCAGGCGUAACCCAUGGUUUGAUUCAAUUGGUGACUUUCGGGACGCUUGGUGGCAGCAGAUCUACCAGGUAAAAUAUAUUGUUCUCGGUAAUGUGGGCAUGCUCAGAACUAACAGACAAUGGACAUUACUUGGUAAGUCUGCUGCCACCAGGCGUUCCAAAGUCUCCUAUUGCAAUCAAGUGUGACGUGACUGUUAUUGGCGGUUAGUUUCAAAAUAAGAUGGCAUAAAAUUGUCAGAGUGUGAAGAGCGUGAAUCGACCGAGUGUGAGUGCUGACCAGGAUGAGUAGUAGUCUUGGCCCAAGACGUCAGUGACCGCUAGUGGAUAGUGUACUAAGCUCAGUUGCAAGUUGCUACAGUGCGCCCUCGUACGGUAUGAUUUAACCAACUUGACUGCUUCGCACUGACGUUUGUAGUCUUGGGCCAAGACUAGAUGAGUAGUUGUUUGUAUGGGAACGAACAAAAUGAGUUUCACAACUUAAUUACCCACAUGGCUCUGGAGCUUACAAAUGCCUGCAGUCCUUCUUAUGCACAGACCUAAUCAAGCCGCCAUCUUUGACGUAAACCAAUAAUGUACGCAUGUGGGGCACAGAACAAUCUCCUUUUUACCAUCCAAUAUUAGACUAGCCUAAUAAAUAAUUACAGAUAUUGAAGUUACGGUGCUAACUAUACUUGCCGCUAGCGCCCUACGAUUUGAUUGUAAGUCUGAUUUCAAGUAUAUAAUCAGCAUCAGUCAUGCAAAACUUUCUAAACAUUAUUAACUAUUAAACGUCCCAACUCGCGCGACAGAGGUUAAUCCACACGACACGAGAGCCCUAUUUUUGACGCGAUCACAGACUUGUAACCAAGUCUACUAGUGGCCAAACUUUAACUCUGCAUAGAGAGGUCAUGAUAUCUACUUUCUUACGACUUCGCUGCUUUAUUUAUUUUUUUUUUUUUCAGUUUUGCUUCAUCAUGUGCUAGCUGAGAAAGGCUAUUGGUACAUGUCAUUACAGAAUUAUGGUUAAUGGGUUGUGUUGAUGUGUGAAAAAAACUAUUACUGAACUAUAAGUCCAGGUUGGACGGGGUGCAAUUCUCAAUUUUUCGAGUUGAUGCUCAAUCAGAAUAAUAGUUUAUGGUAGACUAAAAAGACUAAGUGUGUUCUCAACGCAAGGUGGCAGCAGACUUUUAGUAUGACGUCACAAACCUAAAGUUGUUUCCACACGUGGUAUAUUAAGAGCUACCAUUGGUUGAGAGUCGUUGCAUGGGUACACGUUGCCACUUUUCGCUCAAAGAUGGCGGUCAAUGCAAGUUAAUGGACCAACAAGUCUGCUGCCACCUAGCGUUAUUAAAAUGACAGUUAUAACGGAAUAAAAUUCCGACCAGUAUAUACAAAAAAACAUAAUUGUUUGUUUAAAACAACAAACACCUUUGUAAUUAAAAGAGGUUCUUGUAUGUUGAGAUAUUUUAGUAUACUUGUCCGGGAAAAAAAAUAAGUUCAAUUGUAUUUUUAGAAUAAUUUAGAUAUGAUACGUCAUUGGUGAUGGGAAGCGUGUUUAAAAUGUAUUCAAGUAAAACAAUAGCUUAUUGUUUAAAAACAAAACAUGUAGUUAUACUAUCAUGGUUGCUGACGAUGUUAUAAAAAUUAUGGGAAAACAGCAUUACAACUUCAUGAACUGUAAUUACGUUAUUCGGUUAUAAUAGAAGAUAUUUAUUAUUUUAUAAGAUGGAAGGUAAACAUACCUCCACCGCGUCCCAACAAAGUAAUAUAUUAUUUUUAAACAAUUGCUGCAGAGCCAGUUUUAAUUUAAGAUGAACGUGGCUUUAAACUAGAAACGGAACAAAACCACAAGUUUUCAACUUGAAAUUUUAUAAAAGUUCAUUCCAGUCCCAACUCGCAGGAGAAAGUGCCUGAAGUCUCGUCACAGUCGAGACUAUGCAGUUAGCGCUAUUGCAGUGGUUUUGUUUAUUGCCAAAACCGCAACAAACUCAAUGCAAAAAAAAGAAAUCACAUUGCAUCAGACCAAGCAAAAGAAUUGUGGUUGCUUUUACCCACCCUUGACAACACCCAGGGCCAAGUGAUAAUAUGAUUAUUAGUCGUAUGGUAUGUUUAUAAUUAAACCUAGACGCAAUGUUUUUUUUUUUUUUAAUCCAUUACAAACAACGUUCAUUCCCCUUUAAACCAUGACUCUAAACCUUUAUAAACCUUUUUUUUGAUUUAAUUUGGAUUUGUGUUACCUUAUUUUCAUCAUUUGGAUUUGGAUAAUUAUACAGUUAACGCUAAAACUAAUAGAAUGGGUUGUACAUACGGAUCAUUAAAGAUAGCAGUAUCAGAAAUUGCAAAAAA